rnacentral:lncRNA from 1 species
UUUGACCACUAGAGUUAAACUCUUUGUUUAUACAUUUCCUAGAUUUAUAAGAUUAUAUUUUACCAUUUGACAUGGUUAUUCAACUAACAAACGUUCUGUAUUUCCUAUUUCUUAACGCACUCUUUUCUAAAUAGAUUUUUUAAUGAUAUGUGAAAUUCGUAAUAGGUUACCGCUUGUAGGUGCGCAUCAGUGUCCAUAAAUACGCAUUGCAAUCGCCAUGACCUAAUUCAAAAGUAAUAGCAUGGAAAACGAAGCAAAGAGAAAAGUAAAGCAAAUGCAAAUCUACCUUUUACAUAUGUAUCAAUGUUAAAAAAGAAUACGCACGCUGGAACCAACAGCGUCGAGCAUUGAGAAUGGCAGAGCAGGUCGUCUCAUUAUGCACAGGCGAUUUCCCAGGCAGAACCCUUGGUUUCUUCACUUCAUGUUUCCGAUCCGCACUGCUCACACACGCUCGGAGCUUCGUCAAAAACAAACAAGGCAAUGUUCGCUUUCAAAACGGCAAUCAAAUACCCAAGAACCGGUGGGGGGAAUUACUCCCGCAGCGGCUAGAUGGGUUGGAGAAAUAUGGCCCUGAUUCCCCUUGCUCAGGAGAGAGACCAAAUGGACAUGUCUGUCUGGGACUUUGCCUACUGCUGAACCAACAUGAGCUCAGAUGGAGCAUCUAUCUGUGUGACCCUUUACUGUUGUCUCUAGUGGAGCUCGAGACAUGGACUUCCAUCACCACCUGAACAUCAACAUGCACAACCGUCAAGAUACAGUAUGCUGAGAAGACAGAUACAGAACUCUGCUAUUUAUCAUCAGCAUGCAUACAUCUGUUCUAGAUACACAGAAACCACCAAAUAUACACUAACAUCCUUUGAAUCAAGUCAGUGUUUUGUAUCAUUGUGAUUUAAAUCUUGUUUGUUGUAAAACUGUUUACCAUAUGUCUACUCACUGGGAUGUAAAAGUACAACAUUAUUUAUUCUGAAUUGUAAAAGUCUGUAUUGGACCUGGCAUAUUGGUAUAUUGGAUUUUGAAUGAACCUGCCCUUAGAAUACAGCAUGACAUCAGAAGGGAACCCGCAGAGCACAUUGUCUUUAUCUGACAUUGACUGAAUUUAUAGAAAAAGUAAACCUCAAUGGGAAUAUUUUUCUACUUUCUCAAAUCACUGAAUUUCCUCAAUGAACGGAAUAAAGUAUAUUCAAGAAUAUCUUGUUUCUGACUUUUUUACAGUAUGUCUACAGUAGACCUACUGUAUAUACCUUUGACAUGAUUAGAUCCUCUGUGGGAUCAAUGUGGAAUGGGUGCUGAUUAAAAUAAAACAACAUGGCUGACAUGGCUGUAGCAGUUCCUGAUUGACCCUGAUAUUUCUCAGAAUGAAACAUACAGUUUGCAUACAGUACAAAUAAACGACAUACAUGUUACAUUUACCUUGUCAAUGUGUUACCAUAUUAUGUCAAAUUAGAUACAACUGUAAAAUCUAAAAUGGAAAAGAUACUAGCUAUGGUCACUACCUGAAGCACCUUGACAACCAGGGCAAGCUUUGUAGCCUUCUACACAUUUUGUGUUUGUGUUUGCUAGCAGAAUGCAUCUUCUACUUUUUUCCUUCUCUGUCACAAUGUUUGCCUUAAUUUUGUUGUUUUGUUCUACAUGAAGAAGGUUCAAAGUUUUCAUUCCCACUUCCUCUGUUACCUGCCUGUCACUUUCCUUCUCCUGACAAACAAUAUCUCUCCUCACCUGUCUCCCAACCCCCACUUCCUCUGUUUCCGGCCUGUCUCACUUCUUCUCCUGACAAAAUGUUUCUCUCCUCACUUUUCUCCCUUCCCUCUGUCUCACUCAUCAUAUAUCCUUCUCCUCCACUCUCUCUACUUUUUCUCUCUCCUUCUCAAUCCCAUUAAACCUUUCCCUCCCUCCCUCCCUCCCUCCC